GUUAUUUUCGGGGAUGGCACCUUCAUCAGCGCAACUGCGCAUGGAUCAUAUAAAAUUUAUCCUCAUGGUGGAGGUGUUCUUCUUAUUGAUAAGGAUGGUGGGGUGGUGUACACAUCUAAACAGUCUCAAGAGCAAUCAGAGAGGAACCCACUAGGCCAAUAUGUGAUGAACCACAGAGCAGAUGUCCUAUGUCAUGUGACAGACCCCGAGGGGAACCACUUUCAAGUUAAUGCAGAUGGGCAGGUUACUAUCAUGGCUAAUGGAUCAGAAACAAAAGAGCCAGAGACAGAAACAGAGCUUCACCAGAAUGCUGGCUUUAAAACACACCCAC
rnacentral:lncRNA from 1 species